CAGUCGCCGCGGGAAUACGUAGGGUGCGAGCGUUAAUCGGAAUUACUGGGCGUAAAGCGUGCGCAGGCGGUUGUGUAAGACAGGUGUGAAAUCCCCGGGCUUAACCUGGGAACUGCGCUUGUGACUGCACAGCUAGAGUAUGGCAGAGGGGGGUGGAAUUCCACGUGUAGCAGUGAAAUGCGUAGAGAUGUGGAGGAACACCGAUGGCGAAGGCAGCCCCCUGGGCCAAUACUGACGCUCAUGCACGAAAACGUGGGGAGCAAACAGGAUUAGAUACCCCCGUAGUCCCUGUCUCUUAUAC
rnacentral:rRNA from 1 species